AUAAAUCUUGGGAUACUUAUACACAUUACUUAAAGUGCUGUUACAGCACACAGGGUACCUGCCAUCAUGGAGACUGGCAAUCUGUACUAAGCUGUCUGGCGCCAUGGCUCAUCCUGAUGAUACAGUGUGCAGAGAUAAGUGGAAGUGACUGGGUCAAGCCUACAGAGGAAUCCCUCCAUCAGUCAACCUGACAGAGGUCCAGAGAAAUAAGCAGGACUUCAGCCCAGUAAAUUGUAAUCCCCUCUGGUAGGCAGGAUCGAUAAGGUGGGAGCUGGAUCCUAACCAGAGUUGAUAUCAGCCCUUCCAGAGGACGCCAGGAGAGCUAAUUAUAUGAAUAACCACCAGGAAAAGGUGGUGACCUUGUCAAUGGUGCUGGGUCAGGACAAUGUGGGACAAACAUUCAUGAUCUUCAAAAUAGUGCAUGAAACACAACUAU